CCUACGGGAGGCAGCAGUGGGGAAUAUUGGACAAUGGGCGAAAGCCUGAUCCAGCCAUGCCGCGUGGGUGAAGAAGGCCUUCGGGUUGUAAAGCCCUGUCGGGAGGGAGACGGUACCUCGCAAGAAAGCACCGGCUAACUCCGUGCCAGCAGCCGCGGUAAUACGGAGGGUGCAAGCGUUGCUCGGAAUCACUGGGCGUAAAGCGACCGCAGGCGGCCUGACAAGUCGGAUGUGAAAGCCCUGGGCUCAACUCAGGAAUUGCAUUCGAAACUGGCAGGCUCGAGUACGGGAGAGGGGGGUGGAAUUCCUGGUGUAGGGGUGAAAUUCGUUGAUAUCAGGAGGAACACCGGCGGCGAAGGCGGCCCCCUGGCCCGCACUGACGCUCAUGGUCGAAAGCGUGGGGAGCAAACAGGAUUAGAUACCCUUGUAGUC
rnacentral:rRNA from 1 species